rnacentral:rRNA from 1 species
CAGUAGCCGCGGGAAUACGGAGGAUCCAAGCGUUAUCCGGAUCUAUUGGGUUUAAAGGGUGCGUAGGCGGCCUAUUAAGUCAGGGGUGAAAGACGGUAGCUCAACUAUCGCAGUGCCUUUGAUACUGAUAGGCUUGAAUGUACUUGAAGUGGGCAGAAUGUGACAAGUAGCGGUGAAAUGCAUAGAUAUGUCACAGAACACCGAUUGCGAAGGCAGCUCACUAAAGUAUGAUUGACGCUGAGGCACGAAAGCGUGGGGAUCAAACAGGAUUAGAUACCCCAGUAGUCCCUGUCUCUUAUAC